ACGCUCGACACCUACGGGAGACAGCAGUAGGGAAUCUUCCACAAUGGACGCAAGUCUGAUGGAGCAACGCCGCGUGAGUGAAGAAGGUUUUCGGAUCGUAAAGCUCUGUUGUUGGUGAAGAAGGAUAGAGGUAGUAACUGGCCUUUAUUUGACGGUAAUCAACCAGAAAGUCACGGCUAACUACGUGCUAGCAGCCGCGGUAAUCUGAGCGGGCUGGCAAGGC
rnacentral:rRNA from 1 species